GGAGGAAAGUAGGGGAUCGAAAGACCUUGCGCUUUGGGAGCGGCCGAUGUCUGAUUAGCUAGUUGGUGGGGUAAAGGCCUACCAAGGCAACGAUCAGUAGUUGGUCUGAGAGGACGACCAGCCACACUGGGACUGAGACACGGCCCAGACUCCUACGGGAGGCAGCAGUGGGGAAUUUUGGACAAUGGGCGCAAGCCUGAUCCAGCCAUGCCGCGUGAGUGAAGAAGGCCUUCGGGUUGUAAAGCUCUUUCAGUCGAGAAGAAAAAGCUGCGGGGAAUAACUGUAAUUAAUGACGGUAUCGACCUAAGAAGCACCGGCUAACUACGUGCCAGCAGCCGCGGUAAUACGUAGGGUGCGAGCGUUAAUCGGAAUUACUGGGCGUAAAGGGUGCGCAGGCGGCUGUGUAAGUCAGAUGUGAAAUCCCCGGGCUUAACCUGGGAAUUGCGUUUGAAACUACAAAGCUAG
rnacentral:rRNA from 1 species